rnacentral:tRNA from 1 species
UGCCCUGUGGCCAAGUGGUAAGGCUCUGGACUCUGACUCCAGCAUGCAUAGGUUCGAAUCCUAUCAGGGCAACCA